rnacentral:rRNA from 1 species
AUUGAACGCUGGCGGCAGGCCUAACACAUGCAAGUCGAGCGAGAGGCGGACGGGUGAGUAAUGUAUGGGGAAUGUCCGAUAGAGGGGGAUAACUACUGGAAACGGUAGCUAAUACCGCACACUAUCGGCUACCCCAUAUGGGAUUAGCUAGUAGGUGGGGGAAUGGCUCACCUCGGCGACGAUCCCUAGCUGGUCUGAGAGGUUGAUCAGCCACACUGGGACUGAGACACGGCCCAGACUCCUACGGAGGCAGCAGUGGGGAAUAUUGGACAAUGGGCGCAAGCCUGAUGCAGCCAUGCCGCGUGUAUGAAGAAGGCCCUAGGGUUGUAAAGUACUUUCAGUCGGGAGGCGUUACCGACAGAAGAAGCACCGGCUAACUCCGUGCCAGCCGCCGCGGUAAUAC